GAUGAACGCUAGCGGCAGGCCUAACACAUGCAAGUCGAGGGGCAGCACGUCUUCGGAUGGUGGCGACCGGCGCACGGGUGCGUAACGCGUAUGCAACCUACCUUACACUGGGGUAUAGCCCGGAGAAAUUCGGAUUAAUCCCCCAUGGUACUUUUGAAUGGCAUCAUUUGGAAGUUAAAGUAUUACGGUGUAAGAUGGGCAUGCGUCCUAUUAGCUAGAUGGUAAGGUAACGGCUUACCAUGGCUACGAUAGGUAGGGGGCCUGAGAGGGUGGUCCCCCACACUGGUACUGAGACACGGACCAGACUCCUACGGGAGGCAGCAGUGAGGAAUAUUGGUCAAUGGGCGCAAGCCUGAACCAGCCAUGCCGCGUGCAGGAAGAAUGCCCUAUGGGUUGUAAACUGCUUUUAUUGGGAAUAAACCUUUCUACGUGUAGGAAGCUGAAGGUACCAAAUGAAUAAGCACCGGCUAACUCCGUGCCAGCAGCCGCGGU
rnacentral:rRNA from 1 species